ensembl:lncRNA
CGGGAGACCACACAGGACUUUGGAGGCUGGGCACAUGCCUGCAGAGAGUUGCACCACGUUCUUACCUGGUGGAUGUUGGUGGCUCCCUCUAUCGUCGCAAUAGGGUGGAUCUGCGCGUAGCAGAGCAGACAAACCAGAACACGCCAUACACUCACCUAGAUGAGCUGGAUCACAGUCCAGGCCUAAGGGCCCAUCCCUCCCCCCCGGGUUAUCGGUGGCCAGCCAGCGUAUACGUUGAGACUCCUCCUGAAGGUUUGACCACGGGGCAGGGAUUUCCAGUACCUGGUUGACUGGGAGGGUUAUGGCCCGGAAGAGAGGUGCUGGGUCCCUGCUGCCGACCCCGCUCAGCCAGUCCUCCCGGUUUUGACCCUUGCCUGUUUCUGGACUCUGUACCCGCCUGCCUGACCAUUCUGACCACGAGCCUGUCUGCCACUCUGUACCUCCUGGACUCUGAUCUGCUUUUGACCUUUGUGCCUACCACGACCAUUCUCUUGCCUACCCCUUUGGAUUAUUAAACAUUGU